rnacentral:rRNA from 1 species
GACGAACGCUGGCGGCGUGCCUAAUACAUGCAAGUAGAACGCUGAAGGAGGAGCUUGCUUCUCUGGAUGAGUUGCGAACGGGUGAGUAACGCGUAGGUAACCUGCCUGGUAGCGGGGGAUAACUAUUGGAAACGAUAGCUAAUACCGCAUAAUAGUAGAUGUUGCAUGACAUUUGCUUAAAAGGUGCAAUUGCAUCACUACCAGACGGACCUGCGUUGUAUUAGCUAGUUGGUGGGGUAACGGCUCACCAAGGCGACGAUACAUAGCCGACCUGAGAGGGUGAUCGGCCACACUGGGACUGAGACACGGCCCAGACUCCUACGGGAGGCAGCAGUAGGGAAUCUUCGGCAAUGGACGGAAGUCUGACCGAGCAACGCCGCGUGAGUGAAGAAGGUUUUCGGAUCGUAAAGCUCUGUUGUAAGAGAAGAACGAGUGUGAGAGUGGAAAGUUCACACUGUGACGGUAUCUUACCAGAAAGAGACGGCUAACUACGUG